AACUUUAUAAUCCUAUAAGUUAUUUUUAAAAGUUCUUAUUUCUGAAUUUGCAGAGGAUAAUAAACUACACACACAAAGUGACACAAACUGUGUGUUUGCGUCCCGACCAUGGCUGCGACCACCGCAGUUCGGUCGUUCCUUAACUCAACUGCUCGGUCUGUUAAACAACACAAUCUUUCUCAUCUCGGAACUCGACCCUUUCCUCGUCUUGUCUUUAAAUCUCCACUCACUUCUUCAGGUAUGUGUCACGUGGCACAAGCUACAAGGGGGAACACUGAUGUUUUGGUUAGGGUAGUAGGAGAGAAGGGUGCAGUUGAUGAAGUGAAGCAUGUCGUCGAGAUGGCAAAGCGGGCAUCUUUAAGAAGAGAAGUUCUGCAUACUGAUUUUCUUACACCGCCUGUAUUGAAGGAGUCGAUGCAAGUAUUAGAAAAGUUAGCUGAUGUUAAAGCGGUCGCUCAGGGAGGAUACCCACAGGCUGAGCGCUGUAGGCUUUCAGUUGGACAUCCAGAAGCCUUAACAUCCGACCCGGAUAUUGUUGAAGCACUGAGUAUUUCAGGAAAUUUUGGAUUUGAGCCUUGUUCUCAUGGUGAUUUUCUUGGUUCCAUUCUUGGCACGGGCAUUUCUAGGGAUAAGCUGGGUGAUAUAUUAUUACAGGGAGAAAAGGGGGCACAAAUUCUUCUUGUUCCAGACCUAGUUGAUUUUCUCACAUCAGCGCUCAACAAGGUUGGGAAUGUUACAGUUACAUGUAAAAGGAUACCGUUGCUUGCACUUGAAUACGAACCACCAAGGACUAAAUCCUUCAAAACUAUAGAAGGAUCGCUGAGGCUUGACGCUAUAGCAAGUGCAGGAUACAAGAUUUCAAGAUCGAAGCUAGUUGAUUUAAUCAGUAAUGGGGAUGUACGCGUCAAUUGGGCUAGUGUGUCUAAAAACAAUACCACUAUAAAGACUGGAGACAUGAUCUCUGUCAGUGGCAAAGGAAGGUUAAAGAUAGGAGAAAUAAACUCAACAAAGAAGGGAAAGUUUGCAGUCGAACUGAUCCGAUAUUUAUAGAGUCAAUUGUUUCUUCCAAAGCAGUUCAUAAUAGUCAAAGAAUGCACAACGUUGUUUCAAGGGCAGUUGGUCUUUUUGACAUCAUGAUGUGUUGCAGGAUUAUGGACCAGAGUCUGCCUCAGAUUACCAAUGGAAGAAGUGAGGCCUCCUGGUUCCAAUCACGUAUUUUACGAUGAACCUAAAAAAAAGAGGACAGAAGUGCAUAAUACAAACUUUGAAGGAUGAAUCAUGCGAGGCAAACGCUUGGAAGAGGCUAUUUAUUUGUCAUAUGAAGAACAGAAACUGAAGACAGGCAUAGUACUACUAACAUGAAAGUGAAGAAAAUUAUUUUGUGCUGAAUUUGGUAGUGCCAUUGAGAUAUUGAGGUAUGCAAUUAUCUUAAUCAUUCUGAGUACAUGGUUGACUUUGGAAGACAUUUUCGAACUACAAGUUGACUUUGACUCUGCAA